AUUGAACGCUGGCGGCAUGCGUAACACAUGCAAGUCGAACGGUGUUUGGUGCUUGCACCAGACAUAGUGGCGGACGGGUGAGUAAUGCGUAGGAAUCUGUCUUAGAGAGGGGGACAACCCGAGGAAACUUGGGCUAAAACCGCAUAUUCUCGAGAGAGGAAAGCAGGGGACCGGAAACGGCCUUGUGCUCUAAGGUGAGCCUACGUCGGAUUAGCUAGUUGGUAGGGUAAAAGCCUACCAAGGCGAUGAUCUGUAGCUGGUCUGAGAGGACGGACAGCCACACUGGGGACUGAGACACGGCCCAGACUCCUACGGGAGGCAGCAGUGGGGAAUAUUGGACAAUGGGGGGAACCCUGAUCCAGCGAUGCGCGUGUGUGAAGAAGGCCUGCGGGUUGUAAAGCACUUUCAGUGGGAAAGAGAAGCGUCUUGUGAAUAAUGGGACGUGGAGACGUUACUCGACAGAAGAAGCACGGCUAACUCUGGUGCCAGCAGCCGCGGUAAU
rnacentral:rRNA from 1 species